AGAAUCAAUAUCCUCACCACUAUCAUCAGUUUCAACGCAACCAAAAUUGUCGCGCUCCAGAACGACCAUCGCCACACCCAUAGCAUCACAGAACCACCACUGUCACGCCCACGCAUCACAAAAGUCGCUGCACCAGCGCCACAAUCACAACAUCAUAGAACUACUACCGCCACACCCUUAGCAUUGCAGAACUCACCCCACCACUACCACACCCACUAUGUUACACUGCAAGACCACCUCCAUCAUCGCCACGGCUAUCACCACCAUCAACACCAAUUGCGACCACUACCUCAUCCCUGCCUCUAGUAGCGCCACAACCACACACGAGCUCAACAACGACCAUGACAACCAAUACCACUACCAAAUGCUACCACAAUGGCAGCACCAUCUCCUCCAACACCAUCACCUGCACUAACGUGACCAUCACAACCACCAACUGCAUCAACACAGUUAUCUACUCAACCACCACCACUAUUCGCAAAAACACCAUUCACCACAAAAAACUCAAACUAAACAGAUCUAAUUAAAAAAAAAAAAAAUCAAAAACUGCAAUACCAUUGGCGACAAUGCACCGCUGCAGAUCUUGUCGCUAAAAAAGAUCACGUUGCUUUAGAUGUGCCCGUCAUUCGUGCACUAUAGAUCUAGAUAAUCGGAUGUUACAUAUUCCCGUGCAUAUCGACUGUUACUGCAGUCACUCACGACGAUCGGAGGUUGCAGAUUCCUGUGCACAUCAGUUGGAACUGUAGCCACUCACGCCAUGUACACCGUAUAGAAGUUACAUCUUGAUGCAGCCACAGUCCCAUCGUCGGUAUGACCUCAAUGAAACUUCCUUCCCUUAUGAGAGAGAGAAAGGUGAAAUGGGGGAAGAGAAAGAGAUGGGAAAUGAAGGAGAUU
rnacentral:lncRNA from 1 species